GACGAACGCUGGCGGCGUGCUUAACACAUGCAAGUCGAACGGAAAGGCCUCUUUCGGGGGGUACUCGAGUGGCGAACGGGUGAGUAACACGUGAGUAACCUGCCCUUGACUUUGGGAUAACUUCAGGAAACUGGGGCUAAUACCGGAUAGGAGCUCCUGCUGCAUGGUGGGGGUUGGAAAGUUUCGGCGGUUGGGGAUGGACUCGCGGCUUAUCAGCUUGUUGGUGGGGUAGUGGCUUACCAAGGCUUUGACGGGUAGCCGGCCUGAGAGGGUGACCGGCCACAUUGGGAAUGAGAUAAGGCCCAGACUCCCACGGGAGGCAGCAGGGGGGAAUAUUGCACAAAGGGUGGGAGCCGGAUGCAGCAACGCCGUGGGCGGGAGGACGGCCUUCGGGUUGGAAACCGCUUUCGCUCAUGACGAAGCUUUGUGUGACAGUAGUGGGUAAAGAAGCACCGGCUAACUACGUG
rnacentral:rRNA from 1 species